ACACUUCCCUCACUUCCCGGAAGGAACAAACAAACGAGGAACAUUUUCGGUUCAUUAUCAUAGCCAAUAUUCCUAAGAAUCCGAUGUGAAACGAGAAGUCGAAUGGCAACUAAAAGAACAUUUCGUGUCACGAGCAUGAACAUAGUACAA